rnacentral:rRNA from 1 species
CCUACGGGAGGCAGCAGUGAGGAAUAUUGGUCAAUGGGCGAGAGCCUGAACCAGCCAAGUCGCGUGAAGGAUGACGGCCCUACGGGUUGUAAACUUCUUUUGUCAGGGAGCAAGUGGGUCCACGCGUGGGCUUAGCGAGAGUACCUGAAGAAAAAGCAUCGGCUAACUCCGUGCCAGCAGCCGCGGUAAUACGGAGGAUGCGAGCGUUAUCCGGAUUUAUUGGGUUUAAAGGGUGCGUAGGCGGAAUAUCAAGUCAGCGGUAAAAAUUCGGGGCUCACCCCCGUCGUGCCGUUGAAACUGAUGUUCUGGAGUGGGCGAGAAGUAUGCGGAAUGCGUGGUGUAGCGGUGAAAUGCAUAGAUAUCACGCAGAACUCCGAUUGCGAAGGCAGCAUACCGGCGCCCAACUGACGCUGAAGCACGAAAGCGUGGGUAUCGAACAGGAUUAGAUACCCCUGUAGUC